CAGUCGCCGCGGUAAUACGAAGGGGGCUAGCGUUGUUCGGAAUUACUGGGCGUAAAGCGCACGUAGGCGGAUAUUUAAGUCAGGGGUGAAAUCCCAGAGCUCAACUCUGGAACUGCCUUUGAUACUGGGUAUCUUGAGUAUGGAAGAGGUGAGUGGAAUUCCGAGUGUAGAGGUGAAAUUCGUAGAUAUUCGGAAGAACACCAGUGGCGAAGGCGGCUCACUGGACUGGUAUUGACGCUGAGGUGCGAAAGCGUGGGGAGCAAACAGGAUUAGAUACCCCGGUAGUCCCUGUCUCUUAUAA
rnacentral:rRNA from 1 species